rnacentral:rRNA from 1 species
AAGAAGUCCCGGCAAACUCCGUGCCAGCAGCCGCGGUAAUACGGAGGGGGCAAGCGUUGUUCGGAAUUAUUGGGCGUAAAGGGCAUGUAGGCGGUUUGGUAAGUUAAAGGUGAAAUACCAGGGCUUAACCCUGGGGCUGCUUUUAAUACUGCAGGACUAGAGUCCGGAAGAGGAUAGCGGAAUUCCUAGUGUAGAGGUGAAAUUCGUAGAUAUUAGGAGGAACACCAGUGGCGAAGGCGGCUGUCUGGUCCGGUACUGACGCUGAGGUGCGAAAGC